rnacentral:lncRNA from 1 species
GAAUUAAUUAAGCAUCUUGACAGCCUUAUGGAAGCCUUGCUCUCAGAGAAAGACCAGUGUCAUUACAUUUUUGCUGCAGUGAUGAUGAAUCUGAUUAGCAGACGGCAACUGAGAGACAGGAUGGCUUGAUAAAUUGGAGAGAGAGGAAAAUGUUCUUUAAAAGGAAAAAAAAAGGAAUGGAGGCAAGGAAAACACUUAUAAGAAGGAAGAAAAAAGAGUUUAUAAUGUCCACGAAGCCAUAAACUUGAAAAUUCAAUGAAAGAGAGCCAUCAGAGGAGAGAAGAACAGCAAGUGGAGCUGGGGAGGAAAUGGGAGCUGGGUAAGGCUGCAGCUUCCCCGGCCUUCAGUCCCUGAGAUGACAGAGGGGACAUGCAGAAACCC